UGGGGAAUAUUGGACAAUGGGGGGAACCCUGAUCCAGCCAUGCCGCGUGUGUGAAGAAGGCCCUAUGGUUGUAAAGCACUUUAAGCGAGGAGGAGGCUCCUGUAGUUAAUACCUACAGAGAGUGGACGUUACUCGCAGAAUAAGCACCGGCUAACUCUGUGCCAGCAGCCGCGGUAAUACAGAGGGUGCGAGCGUUAAUCGGAUUUACUGGGCGUAAAGCGUGCGUAGGCGGCUUUUUAAGUCGGAUGUGAAAUCCCCGAGCUUAACUUGGGAAUUGCAUUCGAUACUGGGAGGCUAGAGUAUGGGAGAGGAUGGUAGAAUUCCAAGUGUAGCGGUGAAAUGCGUAGAGACCUGGAGGAAUACCGAUGGCGAAGGCGAUCACCUGGGCCUGAACUGACGCUGAUGAACGAAAGCGUGGGGAGCAAACA
rnacentral:rRNA from 1 species